GACGAACGCUGGCGGCGUGCUUAACACAUGCAAGUCGAACGGAAAGGCCCUGCUUUUGUGGGGUGCUCGAGUGGCGAACGGGUGAGUAACACGUGAGUAACCUGCCCUUGACUUUGGGAUAACUUCAGGAAACUGGGGCUAAUACCGGAUAGGAGCUCCUGCUGCAUGGUGGGGGUUGGAAAGUUUCGGCGGUUGGGGAUGGACUCGGGGCUUAUCAGCUUGUUGGUGGGGUAGUGGCUUACCAAGGCUUUGACGGGUAGCCGGCCUGAGAGGGUGACCGGGCACAUUGGGACUGAGAUACGGCCCAGACUCCUACGGGAGGCAGCAGUGGGGAAUAUUGCACAAUGGGCGGAAGCCUGAUGCAGCAACGCCGCGUGCGGGAUGACGGCCUUCGGGUUGUAAACCGCUUUCGCCUGUGACGAAGCGUGAGUGACGGUAAUGGGUAAAGAAGCACCGGCUAACUACGUG
rnacentral:rRNA from 1 species